rnacentral:rRNA from 1 species
CCUACGGGAGGCUGCAGUGGGGAAUUUUGGACAAUGGGGGCAACCCUGAUCCAGCCAUGCCGCGUGAGUGAAGAAGGCCUUCGGGUUGUAAAGCUCUUUCGGCCGGGAAGAAAUCGCAUAGGCUAAUACCCUGUGUGGAUGACGGUACCGGAAUAAGAAGCACCGGCUAACUACGUGCCAGCAGCCGCGGUAAUACGUAGGGUGCGAGCGUUAAUCGGAAUUACUGGGCGUAAAGCGUGCGCAGGCGGUUUAGUAAGACAGGCGUGAAAUCCCCGGGCUCAACCUGGGAACUGCGCUUGUGACUGCUAAGCUAGAGUACGGCAGAGGGGGGUGGAAUUCCACGUGUAGCAGUGAAAUGCGUAGAGAUGUGGAGGAACACCGAUGGCGAAGGCAGCCCCCUGGGCCGAUACUGACGCUCAUGCACGAAAGCGUGGGUAGCAAACAGGAUUAGAUACCCCGGUAGUC